CUCUCUCUCUCUCUCUGUCUCUCUGUUUCUCUUUUCGUCUUUGUUGCCCCCUUUGCCCCCUUCCCCCACAGUAAACCCCACAUGGAACUGUAUUGGCCUGGUGUGGUCUACCAGGAUGUGAGCCUCAAAUCUAGCACAAUAGUAAUAGCUUUGGGUUAUUUUUUUUUUCUGCCCACAGCCAGGGGUUAUAGAGGUGAAUGACUCCAAAGUCCAUCCGCAACAAGCUGACAGUCCAUGGGACUCUACGCCAACUGUGAUGGCAGAAGACAAGACAGGGGAAGGUCACACAAUAGGUGUGGCAGAUCAUCACACGGAUGGACUUGCCUGGAGCAAUGGAGCCCUCUCAGUACCCGCCUGCAUGGGAUUGUUUGCAGCUGCCUGCAGAGACCCAAGAGCCUACUCCAGAAACAUGAAUGGUGUUACAUGUUAUAUUAUAUCGGGAGCACACUUGUUUACCUUUGCAGCAGUCUGUCUUCCAAGCAAGUCAUUUUGGGGAAGGUGGUGUCUGGAUUGCUAAUCCUCUAGGUAUGCGUUUCAUCUCCUAAUGGUAGACUGCUGGAGACACCCUGGAAAAGGCAUCUUAGUGUCCUG
rnacentral:lncRNA from 1 species